GUCAAAAUACUUCUCAUCCAUUUUCCUUCCAGAUCGGAGAAUCCAUUUUCCCUAAUUCUCAGCAUUCUUAAGUGACUAGAAAUGGCAUUGGGUGGAGGUGGACCACAAAGAGGGACUGCAGCAGCAGCAGCUGCUAACCUACGUCGAAGGAAGACAGGAGGAGCAGGUGGAGCUGCAGGAGGAGCAGGUGGUACCAUGCUUCAAUUCUACACUGAUGAUUCCCCCGGACUCAAGAUAUCCCCCAAUGUUGUGCUUGUGAUGAGUAUUGGCUUCAUAGCCUUUGUUGCGAUCCUUCACGUCAUGGGUAAGCUCUACUUUGUCCGCAGGGAGGGCUAGUGACCGAACCGUUGCUGAGUUGGGAAAUUUUUGUUGGACAACAUCUUUCAUCGUUUAAGGAAAAACUGACAUUGUAGCUUUAUUUUCUUGUUUGUUUGUCUAAUGCUAUGAAGUCUAUAGAAAAGUUUUCUAGUUAUGAGUCGAUUUUUUCUUGUGCUAUUCCAACACUUUCUAAUGAACAAGAAGGUGCCAAAUUCUAGUUUCUUAGACCGUGAAUGGGAUCAUGUCGCAGUUAUAGCUUUAACAGAAAUGACUUCUCCACUGCUCGCUAACAACUUUGGAA
rnacentral:misc_RNA from 1 species